rnacentral:rRNA from 1 species
AGGACGAACGCUGGCGGCGUGCUUAACACAUGCAAGUCGAACGAGAAUCUAUGGAAAGAGGAUUCGUCCAAUUGAAAUAGAGGACAGUGGCGGACGGGUGAGUAACGCGUGAGGAACCUGCCUUUCAGAGGGGGACAACAGUUGGAAACGACUGCUAAUACCGCAUAACGCGUAGAGGUCGCAUGGCCUUUACGCCAAAGAUUUAUCGCUUAGAGAUGGACCCGCGUCUGAUUAGCCAGUUUGGCGGGGGUUAACGGCCCACCAAAGCGACGAUCAGUAGCCGGCCUGAGAGGGUGAACGGCCACAUUAGGACUGAGACACGGCCCAAACUCCUACGGGAGGCAGCAGUGGGGAAUAUUGCACAAUGGGGAAACCCUGAUGCAGCGACGCCGCGUGAGUGAAGAAGUAUUUCGGUAUGUAAAGCUCUAUCAGCAGGGAAGAAAGUGACGGUACCUGAAUAAGAAGCCCCGGCUAACUACGUG